rnacentral:rRNA from 1 species
UACCAGCACCCCGAGUGGUCGGGACGAUUAUUGGGCCUAAAGCAUCCGUAGCCGGUUCUGCAAGUCUUCCGUUAAAUCCACCUGCUUAACAGAUGGGCUGCGGAGGAUACUAUAGAGCUAGGAGGCGGGAGAGGCAAGCGGUACUUAGUGGGUAGGGGUAAAAUCCGUUGAUCCAUUGAAGACCACCAGUGGCGAAGGCGGCUUGCCAGAACGCACUCGACGGUGAGGGAUGAAAGCUGGGGAGCAAACCGG